rnacentral:rRNA from 1 species
UACGUAGGGGGCUAGCGUUGUCCGGAAUUAUUGGGCGUAAAGAGCUCGUAGGCGGUUUGUUGCGUCGGCUGUGAAAACCUGAGGCUCAACCUCAGGCCUGCAGUCGAUACGAGCAGACUAGAGUGUUGCAGGGGAGACUGGAAUUCCUGGUGUAGCGGUGAAAUGCGCAGAUAUCAGGAGGAACACCGGUGGCGAAGGCGGGUCUCUGGGCAACAACUGACGCUGAGGAGCGAAAGCGUGGGGAGCGAACAGG